rnacentral:misc_RNA from 1 species
ACCGAUUGAAUGGUUUAGCAAGGUCCUCGGAUUGGUGCCAUUGYAGUGGCUUCGGCCGCUCGACCGGUGCUGAGAAGACGACCAAACUUGAUCAUUUAGAGGAAGUAAAAGUCGUAACAAGGUUUCCGUAGGUGAACCUGCGGAAGGAUCAUUACCUGAAAAUCUACUCUYACACAAGCGAUACACGUGUGACCGUCAUGUCAUGCGAUAAAAAUUUGCGGACGGCUAUGCCUGGCUCAUUGAGGUCACAGCAUAUCCGAWCACUGAUGGGGUGCCUACCUGUAUGAUACUCCGAUGGUAUGCUUGCGUCUCUCGGGGCGCUUGUCCAAGCCAGGAGAACGGGUUGUACUGCCAYGAUUGGUAGUGCUAGGCUUAAAGAGGAGAUUUGGGCUACGGCCCUGCUCCCGCCCUAUGAACUGUUUCAUUACUACAWUUACACUGUUAAAGUGGUAYUGAAUGGCUUGCCAUUCUUUGCCAUUGCCCUCGCAU